CAAUAAAAGGCCACUCUGAAAUGUUCAAUUUAGACAGAUUUGUGAACAAUAUUUGGGAGGAAUAGGUCUUUUGUGUACAUAGAAAAUGUUUUGGAUCUUUUACGUUCAGCUCAUGAAAAAUGGGAGCAAAAACAAAAGUGUUGCAUUUAUAUUUUUGUUCAGUGUAGAUGAAAUUGACAUUA